ACAGAAGGGAAAUCUCACUUCUGCUUGGGCAGGAGUGCCUAUGAUUGGAAACAUAAGAUGUUAUAAGGUUAAGUUACAUGCUUUCUGUUUACCCGAAGCAUGUUAUCAAUGUCAUGCAACACAGGGACCACCGUCAGAGGAGUUCGUACUCUCCAAGUACAGUUGUCUUAUGGAAAAACUUCUCGGGGCACAGGCCAGCUGACUCAACGUCUCCCGCCAGCCGUCAGCACACACGUGGUGUUCCUUUGCAGAUUUGUGAACAGUCAGCAAUGAGGAGGAGUUCCCAUUUUUAGAGAGGGUCACUGAAGGGGGAAAAUGCGAGAAAGCCUAAUUAAAAACACAUCUUCUCCAGAGACCGCCUGGUGCAGCAACUGUAGCCUUGAAAUCACAUCAACUGCCUGCACUGGGCCUGUCAACAUUCAGUCAUGAAUGAGGAAGUGGAUCAUCGGAUUCUCUGACAAAAGAGACUGGCAACUGAAAGGUUCUGGAAGGGUGGAAGUCAUUGUCUACAGUUGUGUUCCUGAUGGUGACCUCGCCAAACUCUGAUGGAUAGUGCCAAACCCGCUGUUACACAGAUGCCACCAGUUCAGCUCAGCGACAUCACAAAACAAAGCAACAAAGAGGCAAUCACGUGAAAGGAGGACUUGUGUGUCGGGGGGAUUGACAGGGACAGAAGAUGAGAGUAAUUAGACUGAAUUUUAUACAUGAAAGAAAAUGUCAGAGGCAAGAUAACUAAUAAAAAAAGGAAAAAGAAGGUUUAAUGU
ensembl:antisense Gm20647 predicted gene 20647